GAACGCUAGCGACAGGCUUAACACAUGCAAGUCGAGGGGUAACAGGGUAGCAAUACCGCUGACGACCGGCGCACGGUGAGUAACGCGUAUGCAACCUGCCUAUAACUGGGGAAUAGCUCCCUGAAAGGGGAAUUAACACCGCAUAACACUAUUGAUUCGCAUGGAUUAGUAGUUAAAUGUAGCGAUACAGGUUAUAGAUGGGCAUGCGUGACAUUAGCUAGUUGGUGAGGUAACGGCUCACCAAGGCUACGAUGUCUAGGGGUUCUGAGAGGAAGGUCCCCCCACACUGGUACUGAGACACGGACCAGACUCCUACGGGAGGCAGCAGUGAGGAAUAUUGGUCAAUGGGCGCAAGCCUGAACCAGCCAUGUCGCGUGCAGGAAGACUGCCCUAUGGGUUGUAAACUGCUUUUAUAGUAGAAGAAACACAUCUACGUGUAGAUGUCUGCCAGUAUACUAUGAAUAAGCAUCGGCUAACUCCGUGCCAGCAGCCGC
rnacentral:rRNA from 1 species